AUGAAUCGCCGUUUCGUCAAUCUGCUGGUCAAUAGGUUGUGCGCCCCUCGACCCGCUUACAGGCUGCACUGCAUCGACCCCGCAACCUUGUUUUACCCUACCGGAUCGCCACAGCCAGCAGAUCCAGCUGCCAUAAACGACAGCGCUCCAGCUCCUGGGAGGUUGCCUGCGCCCACCAUAUCCUUCGACUGGCCCUGCAAGCCGCACCAAUCCGGCUGGAUGGAUUUCAUGGCCUUCAAGAACAACAUCAUUGCCGUCGACCACGAGGGCCGCACGCUCCUCUACGACACCGCCUCCAGGGCAGUCCGGGCCAUGCCUCAGACGAAGAAGCCUAAUUCGAGGACAAUAUCCUUCACCGUUGGCGAUGGCCUCUAUGUGAUGGCUAGAGAGAAUGGCUCCCCGCCCCAUUCGCACUAUUUCCAGGCUCUUAUCUACGGCCGCCCGCCUGGCUUCCUCCACCCGGAGGACUGGCACUGGCGCCCUCUACAGCAGCCUGACUUCGAUUUUCCUGACAACGGCGACGUCCCGAGCAACCACAAGCCAGGAGAGGCGGUGAACCCCUAUGGGUUCAGUGCCUUCACGGUGUAUGAUGAUUCGCAGAUCUGGAUGUCCACUGUGGCAGCGGGCAUAUACUCCUACAACACGGUGAGUGGCACCUGGAGCAAGGUACAUGUUUCUGCGCUGCCGUUCAGAGGCCGGGCUGAGUACGUCCCUGAACAUGGCCUCUGGUUUGGCUUUUCACGUGAAGACGAGCAGCUCUGUGCAUCUGACCUCGCUCAGGCACGGCCGGUGCUGCAGAAGGUGUGGGAAGAACCAGCUCCGCCUGAGCGGUGUUCCCUGAUGGCGUCUCACAUCCUGCCGUUGGGCUCCGGCAAGUUGUGUGUGGCGAGGCUGUUCCAGAAAACAGAGCGGGGGACGCUUCACCCUUCAGGCUACACCAAAGCGGAGCACUUCGCAGUACUGUCUGGUGUCGAGGUUUUCAGAGCUGGCAACACAGGUAGCCUCGAGACGAUCAAGCACAAGUCCAAACGUUACAGCUUCGGCAAUGAUGAGGUCAAACUGAUCUGA
rnacentral:rRNA from 1 species